UUUAGUACAGAAUUACGCUCCAAUAUAAUUACAUUUUGGAUCAAUCAUUUAGAGAGUCACAGGGAGAGAUUAAAUUAUUUAUUUACAUUUUUCUCAAGCGAGUCUGAAUUUAUCAGGUUUAUAAACUCGCAAUCAUGGCAGAUAGCUGUAACAGCAGCACUCAAACAACAGUUUUUGGUAUUUUCUGCGGGUCUUUUGAGCUGUGGAUCCUACUGUCAGUUGUCAGCACAAUGUUGGUCUUUUCAGUGUGCUGGAAUAUUCUUUGCUGUAUCGCAACACAUUGUACAGGUAAGACUGAAGUCAAGAGUUAACACAACCUCUGAUUUAAAAGAAAAUACUGACAGAGAACACUCUUUUGUUGUUACAGAUAAAGGAAAUACAUUUCUGCCCCGCUUCAGAAGGAGUCUUAGUCUGAGACUGAGGGACAUGGAGGACAACCCUAUCUAUGGGAACAUCAGCUACACCCAGACAAGAGUAGAACUUCCACUCAGUUCCUCAUCCGUCAGAGAUCGUCCGAUCAAAAGUGGUUCCCAGGUGCCCUCUAAAAGGCAGGACUGUUAUGCCAACCUGACUCUGAAGGCCCCAAAGAUGGUGUCUGGCCGCAGCUCCCCACAGCCCCAGAUUGAGUACUCUGACGUGGUGACACUACAGGGCCCACAGGAAGUGGAGAAGGUGACUGUGGCCAACAACAACGCUGACACGGUCUCUGUGCUUUCUGACCUCUAUGCCUCAGUGCAAACGGACCGCACCAAAACUCUGGACACAGAGGCUGGCAAUGACGGCUAUGCCAACCAUGUCUAAGAGACAAAACGUUGGUGAUACGCUUUCCAAUCUGUUAUUGAAUUUGUGUUUUUAUUUGGCAAGAUUUGGAGGCAAUGAUGUUGGUUGUCUAGCCGCAGUUUCACUUCAUAACCACUGAGUGUCGCAAUUUGUUAGUUUUUGAAAAAUAUAUCCCCUUGCUCUUCUUAAUAUUUUAAUCUGCAGAGGGUGUGUGUGACAACUGUGUGGUUUAACUUCAGUAAUCAAUACAUGCAGCCAGACCUUAUUACAACUUGUUGAGGCCCAUAUUUACUUAUCUAAUUCCCCUGACACUUUGUCUGUAUUUGUGGCUCAACGAAGAAGCCAGUAGGAGGUAAGAGGCUACAUGCAAAGCACAGGAGGAUGGUGGCACCUUAAUUGGAGAAACCGGGCUCGUGGGAAUGACUGGAACGGUAUUUGUGGAAUGGUAUCAAACACAUAGUUUCCAGGUGUUUGAUGCCAUUCCAUUUGUUCCAUUCCGGACAUUUUUAUGAGCCGUCCUCCCCUCAGCAGCCUUGUGAUGCAAAAUAUUUGGGGGUGGAUUAUUUCCUCAAUUUCUUUCAAUUACACAUUUUCAGAUGCCUCAUAGGGUAGAGUGUCUACCUUCCGGGGAAUGUUAUUUACCGUUUUAUAAUCUCCAGAUCCUGCCUAACAGUAAGGUUGAACUGAACAUGAAAUGUAUGAAGAUAAAAUUGUGAAAAGGAAUCCAUUUCUAUAUUGUUGAGAUAUUCAUCCAUAUUGUUUGUCUAAAUUGCUAAUACCUCCUUUCGUAAUAAACAAAAAACUGAUCAUUUAUUUAAGCUCUGUGCAUAUUUAUUUUGUCAGUUCAUUUGACAGUCAGAUUCUACUGUAAGUGUAAUUGUCACGUCCUGACCAGCAGAGGGAGUAGUUGUUCUUGGGUUUUGGGUGUAUGUUCUAGGUUAGUAUGUUUUAGGUUCUAUUUCUGCAUUCUGUCUAGUUUAGGUUUUCUAUGUUUAGGUUUGGGUGCUGGACUCUCAAUUGGAGGCAGGUGUUUCUCGUUGCCUCUGAUUGAGAGUCCUAUAUAUGGGUAAUUGUUUGGUGUAGUGUUGUGGGAGAUUGUUUCUUGUUGGCGCUCCUCUGUGGCGCUCCUCUGUGGCGCUCCUCUGUGGCGCUCCUCUGUGGCGCUCCUCUCGCUCUCUCUGAGUCUCUCUCUCUGAGUCUCUGUCUCUGAGUCUCUGUCUCUGUCUCUGUCUCUCUCUCUCUGUCUCUCUGUGUGUGUGUGUGUGUGUGUGUGACAAACAAGACUGUUUGUUCGUUUUUGUUAUUUUGGUGUUCACUUUGAAUUAAAAUAAAUACAAGAUGAGCAUCCAUAUUCCUGCUGUGUUUUGGUCCUCCAUUCCCGACGACAACCGUUACAGAAUCUCCCACCACAAAUGGACCAAGCAGCGGAGUAAGGAGCAAGGGGAAUUCCAUAUGGACUGGCAGGAGAAAUGGACGUGGGAGCAGAUUCCGGCUGGAGAGGGCCCAUGGAGGAAGUCUGGUGAGGACCGGGAACACUACCGGGGUACACGACUGGUGAGAACUGGAGAGGCAGCCCCAAUAAUUUUUUGGGGGGGGGCACACGGACAGAUCGGCGGAGCUGAGG
rnacentral:lncRNA from 8 species